UGUUUAAAAAUCAAACUGGGUGUCCAAGGGAGAAAACACAGUCAUGGGUUCUUAGUUUCUGUUUCUGGUUGGGCCAGUAAAGCCUCUUCCUCAACCCUCUUUUUUAUUUUAUUUUUAUUUAUUUAUUUUUUAAGAUGGAGUCUUGCUCUGUCA